AAAACUGUAGUUUGAUUUUGUACUUUGACUGCGUUUAUAAGCAUGUUUUUAAGUGCUUGUAAUUACAGUCAGUGUAGUGAAU
ensembl:miRNA eel-mir-11057 eel-mir-11057